CAGUAGCCGCGGUAAUACGUAGGUGGCAAGCGUUGUCCGGAAUUAUUGGGCGUAAAGCGCGCGCAGGCGGAUCAGUUAGUCUGUCUUAAAAGUUCGGGGCUUAACCCCGUGAUGGGAUGGAAACUGCUGAUCUAGAGUAUCGGAGAGGAAAGUGGAAUUCCUAGUGUAGCGAUGAAAUGCGUAGAUAUUAGGAAGAACACCAGUGGCGAAGGCGACUUUCUGGACGAAAACUGACGCUGAGGCGCGAGAGCCAGGGGAGCGAACGGGAUUAGAUACCCGUGUAGUCCCUGUCUCUUAUACA
rnacentral:rRNA from 1 species